rnacentral:misc_RNA from 1 species
GAAUUAGUACCUCGGCUGGACUGAAAUGUAACAAGCUGGAUAAAUUGAUAAAUGCGGCUUGACCUGACGUUGUAGUGCCUAAUAAUCAACUCGUCGGGGACGCAUUAGACUUUUUAAUGAGCUUUACAAAACACGUUGCCUUAAACAAGCAAUUAGUGCAUUUUGACCUCAAAUCAGGUAGGACUACCCGCUGAACUUAA